UAUGCGGAUCUUAGAUCUCCAAUUUGAAUUCCCGCUCCUCUCCCAAAAACCUAGCAGUCGUCGUUGCUUCUCCCACGACAUUUUUCCUCUUCACCCUUCAAGAUUAUCAAGUGAUCACCAUCACUUCCCACGUAUCGCAACCGAUUUCAUCACACUAUUGCAUUAACGAAUCUAUUAGAGUUUCUCAGCAUAAGCCCUAGCAAUUAAGGUAACCAACAUAUCAAUUUCAGCUUCUUACUUUAAAUUGAUAAGCGAUAGACCACAUCCUUCUUCAUCUUUCUAUCUGUUCAGAAUAUUGAUCAAUGUGCGUGGAUUUAUUAGGUCACUUUCACAGGGCUUAUGUGAGAUGCUGAUUGCUUAGGUUUUUGGGGGACGCAGACAUGUGGAUAUCCCAGGUAAUGGGUUUUAACUUAUAUAAAUGGAUUGUUAUAUUUUUGGUUUUUUGAAUUAACCGCUACUACCAUGCACAACACCUGAGAAACAAGUGAUCAACCAUGUGGAGGAUGAUAAACAACAAACAAGGUCACUUGAAGAGCUUAGAGAGACAAUCAUAUAGCCAUCAAGAUCCAAUCUUUUAAUCGUGCAUAUCUGGCAUGGAAAGCGUUAAACGGGCUGAGAGGAGUAGUGACGCUCCAAGCAGUGAUUUGGGCUAUAUCAUGAGGCGACGAUUCUUAAACAAAAUGAAGAACACCAAGUAAAGUUUUGUUUGGUAUAGGUUGUAGGCUUUGAAGGGAUACGAGAUACCGGAGCAGUUGGAAGUUCUCGAGCUGCAGAGAUAUAUGGACUUGAUAUUCUAGCACAAACAAUCCAGGUGUCACCUAAUUAUCAUCUUUUCACAUAUGAAAGUGUUAUAUUCUAACAUCACAUUGUGUGUGUCUGUGUGUGAGAGAGAUAGGCUAAUGUUUUACAAAAAACUGAAGUUAUGGACAAAACUGUUUUGGUUCAACUUGUACCAAAAAUUUGCCCAUUUUGACCUGUAUAUUGGUACUUAGUUUGUUUUGAUGUC